rnacentral:lncRNA from 1 species
ACAGCCCGUCACAUGCAAGGAAUGAAGAUAUAAUCCUAUUGGACAUCACCAGCAUUUUUCCUCCUUCUUCAAUGGAACAUAUAUAUCAAGAAAAGUCUCCUACCUUGAGAAUGACGGCUGCCCCCUCUUUUUGGUGAAUAAUCCCCCCCUAGGGUUCCGUGAAUCUUUUUUUCAUUUUCAAUGCUCCAUGGGCCCCUUGUGCCGUGUUGUCUCAGCUGCACAUGUUUUUUUUUUCUUUUUUUUUUCAAUGUGCUGCAGCCUUUUCCUUGUGCACCCCCAAAUUCAACAUGUUGCACCCUUUUCUCAUAAGCCCAAAGGGUAAAAUCUCCAUACUGCCCUUCUUCUAGUGCACACUUCUUUUGAGAAGAGUCUUGAAUUAAUUUUUCUGCAUCCCAAUGCUCCAAAAUAUAUCUCCAAAAUUUUCCCUGCAAUUAAAAAUGCAAAUAAUUAGCUCAGAAUAUUGAAAUUAACUAAAAUUCGAAUUUCCGGUCAAAUUAAGCAUAAUUAGGAAAAACGGGAAAAUACCGGACAAUUAAGCACAAUUCCCUGAUUAAUUCUAGCAUAAUAAACUAAGUGAAAUCAAUAAAAUAUCGACUCAUCACGAAGCUAUUGCAUUAGGGCCUCAUCAUGGAUCCACAUGACCUUUAGAUCCUUAUGACGUUGUUAGUGGAGCUCCUCGUUUUGUUGAAGCAACAAUUGGACAUGACUUUAAAUGGAUGCCAUCAGGGUGAAUUCCAUUUUGUUUUGUGAAGUGGAGGACUCAGACGCCUACACUUGGCUUCUAGUGGUGACAAUGAAAUAGUGAGACCGAGAGUAGUUUUAUUGGCCCC